rnacentral:rRNA from 1 species
AGCGAACGCUGGCGGCAGGCCUAACACAUGCAAGUCGAACGAACCCUUCGGGGUUAGUGGCGGACGGGUGAGUAACACGUGGGAACGUGCCUUUAGGUUCGGAAUAACUCAGGGACACUUGUGCUAAUACCGAAUGUGCCCUUCGGGGGAAAGAUUUAUCGCCUUUAGAGCGGCCCGCGUCUGGUUAGCUAGCUGGUGAGGUAAUGGCUCACCAAGGCUACGAUCAGUAGCUGGUCUGAGAGGAUGACCAGCCACAUUGGGACUGAGACACGGCCCAAACUCCUACGGGAGGCAGCAGUGGGGAAUCUUGCGCAAUGGGCGAAAGCCUGACGCAGCCAUGCCGCGUGGAUGAUGAAGGUCUUAGGAUUGUAAAAUCCUUUCACCGGUGAAGAUAAUGACUGUAGCCGGAGAAGAAGCCCCGGCUAACUUCGUGCCAGCAGCCGCAGUAACAC